rnacentral:rRNA from 1 species
AUUGAACGCUGGCGGCAGGCCUAACACAUGCAAGUCGAACGCGUGGGGGGGGGGUGAGGGAUACAUCGGAAUAUUCGCUGUGGCGGGGGAUAACGAAGGGAAACUUAAGCUACAACCGCAUACGCGAGUAUAAGCCGAGGUCGGAUUAGCUAGUUGGCGGGGUAAAGGCCCACCAAGGCGACGAUCCGUAGCUGGUCUGAGAGGAUGAUCAGCCACACUGGAACUGAGACACGGUCCAGACUCCUACGGGAGGCAGCAGUGGGGAAUAUUGGACAAUGGGCGAAAGCCUGAUCCAGCCAUACCGCGUGGGUGAAGAAGGCCUUCGGGUUGUAAAGCACUUUUGGUGGGGAAGCGUUACCCAAAGAAUAAGCACCGGCUAACUUCGUGCCAGCAGCCGCGGUAAUUC